GUGGGGAAUAUUGGACAAUGGGGGGAACCCUGAUCCAGCCAUGCCGCGUGUGUGAAGAAGGCCUUUUGGUUGUAAAGCACUUUAAGCGAGGAGGAGGCUACCGAGAUUAAUACUCUUGGAUAGUGGACGUUACUCGCAGAAUAAGCACCGGCUAACUCUGUGCCAGCAGCCGCGGUAAUACAGAGGGUGCAAGUGUUAAUCGGAUUUACUGGGCGUAAAGCGCGCGUAGGUGGCCAAUUAAGUCAAAUGUGAAAUCCCCGAGCUUAACUUGGGAAUUGCAUUCGAUACUGGUUGGCUAGAGUAUGGGAGAGGAUGGUAGAAUUCCAGGUGUAGCGGUGAAAUGCGUAGAGAUCUGGAGGAAUACCGAUGGCGAAGGCAGCCAUCUGGCCUAAUACUGACACUGAGGUGCGAAAGCAUGGGGAGCAAACAGGAUUAGAUACCCCAGUAGUCC
rnacentral:rRNA from 1 species